UGACAGAGAGAGGGAGGGGGUGACUAGUGACAGAGUGAGGGAGGGAAGGGGUGACUAGUGACAGAGUGAGGGAGGUGGUGAUUAGUGACAGAGGGAGGGAUGGGGUGACUAGUGACAGUCACCACCUCCUUCACUCUGUCACUAGUCACCCCCUCCCUCACUCUGUCACUGUGUCACCCCCUUCCUCACUGUGUCACCCCCUUCCUCACUCUCACUAGUCACCCACUCCCUCCCUCACUCUGUCACUAGUCACCCCCUCUCUCACUCUGUCACUAGUCACCCACUCUGUCACUAG